rnacentral:rRNA from 1 species
GGUUAGUGGCGGAUGGGUGAGUAACACGUAGGUGACCUGCCCCGAUGAGGGGGGAUAACUGUUGGAAACGACAGCUAAUACCCCAUGUGAUCGGCGAUUCGUUUUGUCGAUUAAAGCUCCGGCGCGUCGGGAGGGGCCUGCGUCCCAUCAGGUAGUUGGUAGGGUAACGGCCUACCAAGCCGAUGACGGGUAGCUGGUCUGAGAGGAUGGUCAGCCACACUGGAACUGAAACACGGUCCAG